rnacentral:misc_RNA from 1 species
CGGAUCUGGUAAUUCAUUUCUGAAUUUUAACUUGCAAAGAAAUGUUGUCGGCUUCUUCAACCGGUUUUCUGUCCUCUCUCCACUUAACAAAGGGGUGGUUCUUCUGUCAGCCAUAUGUGAUGCGCUGAUCGACCCAUGACCCUUCGUACCAGAAGUUAACAUUUGGGUUUUCUGCAGAACCUUAUUCUGUGAUUCUUUCAAAUGCUGCCUAUUCUUCUCUUCAUGCCUUUGCUUUUCUAUCUCUCUCUUCUUCCUUGACCUCCUCUCUUCCUCAGUCUCAACCCUUCCUGAAUGAGCAUUGGAUUUUUUCAUUGGCAAUGGGGGAACAGAAUGGUCUGGCUGUUUAGAACGAGCAGUGUGGUUACCAUGCCUUGAUUCACGCCAACCAGACUCUCGCCUUUUCUCUACACUGUGCCUG